AAUGGAAUUUCCACUAACAUGUCCAGAGCACCUUCUAUCUAUGCACUUGCAAAUUAGAUGAUAGCAUUUAAUAUUCACAAGAACCCUGGUUGGAAUGAGUGAUGGGAGUUUAGCUCUUGUUGCCCAGCCUGGAGUGCAGGGCUGUGAUCUUGGCUCACUGCAACCUCCGCUUCCCAGGUUCAAGCAAUUCUCCUGCCUCAGCCUCCCAAGUAGCUGGUAUUACAGGCACAGCUACAAGGAACACCCUUCAUUGGUCUCUGGGUAUAAUUAUAGGAAUUGGGUAUGUGGCUAGAAGAAGAAUCACUGGGUGGUGAGGUUUGUGCUUCUGCAAGUUUACCAAGCAUUGCCACAGUGCUCUUCAGUUUAUACUCCUCAUAGAAAUAGGUGUAAGAUAUUGUUAAGACGCACUAUCUUAGCAUGAGACGGGACUUCUUCCAACCCUCCUAUGGAACAGAUGGGCAGACUGAGGACCUGAGAAGGAAUCUACU
rnacentral:lncRNA from 10 species